GUAAUUUAUUACAUUGUUUUGCUGACGCUGAUUGCAAUUACAAAAAAGGUUUAAUUGGGUCCAAUUGGCGGGCGAACCCGCCAAGGAAACAAGUAGUACGCAAAAGACAUGGGUGAAUAUGGAGUCAGACUGGCCCAAAAGGGCGUUACCCCCCGCCGCGUCAGCACAACAGCAAUGACGCUAUUGCGGACACGGCGUGACGUUACGCCCCAAUGAGGGUCUGCUUUCAUAUUUGUGUAAUGAUCCCUCCGCAGGUUCACCUACGGAGA
rnacentral:misc_RNA from 1 species